rnacentral:rRNA from 1 species
GAUGAACGCUGGCGGCGUGCCUAAUACAUGCAAGUCGAGCGAACAGACGAGGAGCUUGCUCCUCUGACGUUAGCGGCGGACGGGUGAGUAACACGUGGAUAACCUACCUAUAAGACUGUGAUAACUUCGGGAAACCGGAGCUAAUACCGGAUAAUAUAUUGAACCGCAUGGUUCAAUAGUGAAAGACGGUUUUGCUGUCACUUAUAGAUGGAUCCGCGCCGCAUUAGCUAGUUGGUAAGGUAACGGCUUACCAAGGCAACGAUGAGUAGCCGACCUGAGAGGGUGAUCGGCCACACUGGAACUGAGACACGGUCCAGACUCCUACGGGAGGCAGCAGUAGGGAAUCUUCCGCAAUGGGCGAAAGCCUGACGGAGCAACGCCGCGUGAGUGAUGAAGGUCUUCGGAUCGUAAAACUCUGUUAUUAGGGAAGAACAAAUGUGUAAGUAACUAUGCACGUCUUGACGGUACCUAAUCAGAAAGCCACGGCUAACUACGUG